rnacentral:rRNA from 1 species
GAUGAACGCUGGCGGCGUGCCUAAUACAUGCAAGUCGAGCGAACGGACGAGAAGCUUGCUUCUCUGAUGUUAGCGGCGGACGGGUGAGUAACACGUGGAUAACCUACCUAUAAGACUGGGAUAACUUCGGGAAACCGGAGCUAAUACCGGAUAAUAUUUUGAACCGCAUGGUUCAAAAGUGAAAGACGGUCUUGCUGUCACUUAUAGAUGGAUCCGCGCUGCAUUAGCUAGUUGGUAAGGUAACGGCUUACCAAGGCAACGAUGCAUAGCCGACCUGAGAGGGGACUCGCCCACCUGGAACCUGAACACCGUCCCGACCCCCUCGGGGGGGCGGCGUUGGGGAACUUCCCGCAUUGGCCGAAACCUUACCGGGCCACCGCCGCUUAGUUGUUGAGGUCUUCGGAUCGUAAAACUCUGUUAUUAGGGAAGAACAUAUGUGUAAGUAACUGUGCACAUCUUGACGGUACCUAAUCAGAAAGCCACGGCUAACUACGUG